UCCCUUAUGGCUUAGCUGGUAAAGAAUCUGCCUGCAAUGCAGGAGACUUGGGUUCAAUUCCUGGGUUUGGAA
rnacentral:tRNA from 1 species